GACCAUGAACAAUGAACAAAACUCAAGCGCAAAAGCAUAAUUUCGUGGGCUAUUGAUCGACUCGCCGCCGUUAACUCGCUUCACCGCGCCGUUCUCUACCCGCCGCCCAACUCGCUUCUCGUCACUCACUCCGCAACUUUUCUCGCCCAGGGCUUCUCGCAGCUUCUCUCCGACAAGUUUCUAUUCGUUUUCGUUGAGGCACUGAAGAAAAAUGUAUAUAAUGCAUAUGAGGGAUCUGGUGUUUUACUGUCUGCUACUUGCUCUAGUUCCUUAUUCUUUCGAGCUAGAAGAAAGUUUGUGAGGAGUGGUUUUCUCGUAUAUGUGAGCCAAUGAUGAAUGCUGGAUUAGCUCUACAAUGCCAUGAUGCUACAAUUCAGUAUUGUGCUCUGCGUUUACAGGAGCUCAGGAAUCUUGUUGUGGCUUCAGCUUUGAAUGAAAAGUAUUGUAUGUCAGGCAGAAGGUAAAUUGGAAAAGGCUGCUGCGCACUUUAUUCACUUGCUACAGACUGAGGAGUCGUUGAGUUCCUUGGGUUCUGAUGGUUUACAGUGUCAUUGCACACAUCAUUGAGUGUUAUACUUCUGUUUGUGAUUGGUAGAAUCCUGGUUAUCAGAGUUGCAAACCCUUCGUGCUAAGUAUGCUGGGAAGAGUUAUUGCGGUGUUCUCACAACAAUGGGCAAUGAAAUUAAUGCAAUUCAUUCCUUGGCAUGGUAUGAUGAGGGUGAAUUUCAGGCAGCAUGGGCAUGACUUGGUUUGACAUCUAAAAGUAGCAGUGAGCUCACACUUGAUCCGAAAUUGGCCUUUCAAAGAAGUGAGCAGAUGCUUUUACAGGCAAUGCUUCUUCAGAAUGAGGGAAAGGAAAAUAAGAUGCAACAUGAAUUACAGAAGGCCAGGUCAAUGCUGGAGGAAACAUUGUCUAUUUCGCCGCUUGAUAUGUUAGAAGAAGCUGCAGCAUGUGCUACCCAGUUGCACUGCAUCAUUGCAUUUGAAGAAUUUUACAAGAUUAAAGGCAACCAAGAUAAACCCAGGCAACUUCAGUCAAUAUUAAGUUCAUAUGUCCGACUUAUG